rnacentral:tRNA from 20 species
GGGGAAGUAGCUCAGCUGGUAGAGCGCGUCGUUCGCAAUGACGAGGUCGGGAGUUCGAUCCUCCUCUUCUCCACCA